ACAUUUCUCUCCGAAGUGGAGUGAAGGAAGGAGAACUACAAGCUAAAAUGUGCUUCACUGGGUGAAGUAUUUGGGGGGAAAGAUAAGAACGGUGAAAUAGAGGAAUGGAAUCGUGCAUACAGAGAUUAAGGAUGCCUGUUUGGGUCUGGGGAGUGGGGGCUGUGGAUGAAGGAAGGAAGUUUCUAGAGGGAAAAGAGACUUCUAUGCAGAAGAAAAUGAAAUUAGCAUUGACUCUGAAACGGCUGGGAAUGUGACUUUCUAAUUUUAAAUUAUCUUUAACAAGGGCAAUGAAAGAGGAAAAGUUGACACUUUGAGAAGUUAUGACGAACUUGUCGAGAAUACCAAUUGACAAAGGCAGAAGCAGAGAGGCUUAUGUCAUGCCAUAUGAUCGAUGCCAGUCAUGGGAGGAGUGCCUGUGUAGAAAAAAUGGACUUUCAGCAUCCAAAAACAGAGGAAACACGCGUAUAUUCAGCAAGUCUGAAACCUCUUAAAUAAACAGCAUUGCUUUUCA